rnacentral:rRNA from 1 species
GAUGAACGCUGGCGGCGUGCCUAAUACAUGCAAGUCGAGCGAACGGACGAGAAGCUUGCUUCUCUGAUGUUAGCGGCGGACGGGUGAGUAACACGUGGAUAACCUACCUAUAAGACUGGGAUAACUUCGGGAAACCGGAGCUAAUACCGGAUAAUAUUUUGAACCGCAUGGUUCAAAAGUGAAAGACGGUCUUGCUGUCACUUAUAGAUGGAUCCGCGCUGCAUUAGUUAGUUGGUAAGGUAACGGCUUACCAAGGCAACGAUGCAUAGCCGACCUGAGAGGGUGAUCCGCCACACUGGAACUGAGACACGGUCCAGGCUCCUACGGGAGGCAGCAGUAGGGAAUCUUCCGCAAUUGGCGAAAGCCUGACGGAGCAACGCCGCGUGAGUGAUGGAGGUCUUCGGAUCGUAAAACUCUGUUAUUAGGGAAGAACAUAUGUGUAAGUAACUGUGCACAUCUUGACGGUACCUAAUCAGAAAGCCACGGCUAACUACGUG